UGUUGUGGGGCCGAGCGCGGGCGGGAGCGAGGGUGUCUGAGUCAGAGCUGCAUCCUCGGAGGAAUAAACGCCAAAACUCCCUACUCGGCCGCUCUCACACCCCCAACCUCCGCCUUCUUCCUCACGACCGUCGAUGCUGUCAGCAUACGUGUUCUUUAUGAAUCUCUAACAGCACAUUUUCGGCCUAAACUGCGCGAAAAGCCGGGCAGACCCGCCGGAUCUCACACACGCAGAAGAACUACCUGAGGGGAGGGGAAGAGGGGAGCGAGAAAGGAGCGGGAAUUUUUGCAGACCUGCUCAGGAGGUUUUGAACUGAAACUUUCAGUAAGACACUCGAGGCUGAGAAUCUUCCCCGAAGCGUUUAGGACUCAAAGGCAAGUGGGAGAAAGCUUCUUUCCUUAGAGCGAAUGCGACAGCACUCGCUGAAGGCAUUUCUGUUCUGCAGGGAAUGAGACAAGCAGAGAACGAGCCUCGUUUGCCCGUUAGGGAACGGCGCUCGGGGAGUACGAAUGGCGCGCUUCCAUCCAGACCAGCGGGCGCUGCCAAUGCCAGGAGCUCGCUCAGCCUUUCAGGGCAGACACGGCUCCGGCCAUUCGUAAGCAGCCCGUCUUUCUAACCACCAUACCUCCCCCCAGCUCCCGCUGUACCCCUACGCCGCCCUGCCUCCCCUGCCCGACUUCAGCCCCUCCAGCGAGACGGCUGAUGGAAGGAGGGGAGGCGGCGGCUGGGGUUUCGUUCGACGCCCACCAGGGGCUGAGCGAGCCUUCUUCAGUGCGCAAACUCGGGGCACCAGAUAAAAGCUGGGCUGGCAGCUCUUACCCUGCCUCGAUGGAGCCGCCACUUUCGGGUGACUGGAGAAGCAGUUAGCAGCAGCGCCAUAGACUAGCGUCCCCCCCACACCUUGGGCACAGAGAGUUUGGGGCUCUAAACAGCUGCUGCUGCGGCAGGAGGGAGCCGAGGGCGCUUGGCUGGGGCUGUUCGCUCGGGUUCUGCCUGUUGUUGCGCGAAAUGGCGGCUGGCGUCUUGGUGGGUUUGGUUGUCGGUUUUUUGUGUAGGGUUUUUUUUUUCCCCUUCCCCUCCUAUUCCCCUCCCCGCAGUUGUGCCUUGGCUGCGGCUCCGCAGCGAACCGCGGCGGAGCCCGAGUCAGGAGGGGGGCGGGAGCGGCGCGGCAGCCAAUGGCCGGGCCGGCCCGGGUGGCCCGGCGUGCCCUGAUUGGCUGGCGCUGACAUCAUCCUGCAGCAGGGGCAGCCGCAGCUGGGCAGGGUCGGGAGCUGCCGGGGGAGGCAAGGGGAGAAAACGGGCGCCAUGAUCUCGGCGCCAGGGAAGACUCCGCGGGCAGGGCGUCCCCGAAGAGCUGGCGAAAAGAAAAGCAGGAUCAGGCCUGGGCUUCUCCUUUCCGAAUAGUGCCGGGGCUGUGCUGAGAGGAGCGGGAAACGAGCGAGAGGGGAGCAACUCAUGCCUGCCUUUGUAACUGCGUCAGUACAAGAUGGCGCAGGGUGUCCCUGGAGAGGGAAGGGAGUUGCACGUCCGCCGGAGGUCAUGUGACCGCGUUGCAUUCCUGUGGGGUUUGGCUGCGGACCAAGCUGGCUUAGGCGGCGGCGGCGGCUGCCCGGGAGAGCCCGGGCUUCCCUCCCCCUCCUCCUGCACAACGUCGUCGGUCCCGCGCUGGUUCCCUUCCCCCAUCAGCCUUAUGCACGAGGGUGUAGCUGCUACCGAGGAAGGUUCUCGCUUCUCUCUUUACUCUCCACCCACCUCCAGGGUGUAGCUGCUCUUGGGGGAAGCUUUCCAUUCAGCCCCCUCUCUGCGCAAGGCUUUACCCUCCGCCAGGGAAAGUUCCCCCUGGGUGCCUGCUGGCUCCGCCCGAGCGUGAGAGCGGGGUGCGCUCACGGCAGUGCCGCCCGCUCGGUGCGGAGGCACUCUGCUCUGAGUUAAGUUGCAGGGGGUUAUGGAGUGGUUCUUACUGGAACAGUCGUUUUAAGUGAUGUCUAAAUGACCUCAUUAAAGCCGCUGAGGAAAA